AAGAAAACGGUGUUAAAAUAGCCGUUUUAUGUCGCAUUACUGAACUCAAUGGAGCUGCAGUUGGUCGAACUGAACCGCUUCGCUCGCGCUUCUUUCAAAAACUAACGGUCGUUUUUAAAACGUCUGUUUUUUAGAACGUUCACAGUAACGGUUCAUUGUUGUUCUAACAGCUGUCUAACGGCUGUUUAACGGCUGUGCCACCAUUCAAACCGACUCGGUUAUAUAUGUGGAGCAACGUGAACAGGUUGAGAUGAUCUCCUGUGGCAUCCAUCGGACACAUCUGUAAACGGUAAAUACUAGCGCGAAAACACGGAUUUAAAGACUCACCUCGUCGGUAAAUAUGAUAAGUGUGCUGUGCUGUGGGGUUCCAGAGACACACAGCGCGGAGGAGCCAAUGGGAGGAGGCGGUGCUCAGCUCAGAUAGAGGGGGGAGGCAGGAGGUCUCACUCUGCUCCUGAAUGAUGAAGACGAGACUCCCAAGGGAGCCACUGAAGAGGAGCUAAAGAGCCGCACGAGGCUCUGGAGACGCAGGUUGCAGACCC